UACGUAGGGACCAAGCGUUGUUCGGAUUUACUGGGCGUAAAGGGCGCGUAGGCGGUGUUGUAAGUCACUUGUGAAAUCUCCGGGCUUAACUCGGAACGGUCAAGUGAUACUGCAGCACUAGAGUGCGGAAGGGGCAAUCGGAAUUCUUGGUGUAGCGGUGAAAUGCGUAGAUAUCAAGAGGAACCCCUGAGGUGAAGACGGGUUGCUGGGCCGACACUGACGCUGAUGCGCGAAAGCCAGGGGAGCAAACGGG
rnacentral:rRNA from 1 species